CCUCUUUAUCUUUUCAGAAAUAUGACCUUUUUUUUUUUUUUUUUUUUUUUUUUUUUUUUUUUUUUUUUUGUGGGGAGACUGUGGAUAACCAGAGAUGGGGGGCUGUCAGCUUUGGAAGCCCUUGCUUGAAAAGACAAGGAUUUGAAGUCUCACACUACAUUACUUCUCCCCAGGUGAUGAAAAAUGCCAUUGAAGUUGGACAGGCUGGUGUGGCUUCUUCACAAAGGUCACAGGAAGAGCAGAGACCUUUUUAAUGGAGCAUACUAAUGGGUUCCUGCUCUGAAAGGUGGUAACAUCGUGUCUGUAAAGAAAAAUCCUCCAGGGCACUCUGGGUGUGAAGCCUGCUUUUCUGACAUUUUUAAAUGGUUAAGGGUUGUUACUCCAUCACAUCAUGAGGGGCCUGAAGGAACAUAAUGUUCACCUAUUUAGGGAAGUGGCAAGCUGAAAUAGCUCUUGUGCAGCGCUUAAAGUAGCAAUCUGGUGUGAAUGCUUGAGCUUUUCUGCCACCAAGCGAGGCAGAGCGUGAAGUGAUGAGUGACUGGCCCAUCUUCUCUCUACAGUCGUCGUCUCCCAUGAGUAAUGUUGCUUUAAAAUUUCAUUUUCUUCGUGGUGUUUUCUACCUGUUUCUUCAAAUUGUUCCCUCAUUUCAAAGCUUGUCAUUUGUUUCACUGAAAGUAUUUGGUUAUACCCCGAAGGCGUUUGCUUACUGAUAGUGCAUUAGUCUAUUGUUGAUGGAAAUGAUAACUUAUAUCAAGGCUCUUCUUCUUGUUUAAAUCUUGACUUUAUCAAGAAUGAUGUUGCCAGAUGUGUUACUUGGAGUUCAGCGAGCGAGCAGGCCAUGGAGCCCUGAAGCCGCUGUUACCAGCCCAAGGAAAGCUCAUGAAUUUAUUCCAGUAUGAGCUCAUGUUCUUCUACAGUGUAUCACCCUCUAACCUUCAAAAGGAGCAGGCGCAGAAGAGGUUUGAUAUUUCUGUUUGUACAGGGGCCUCUGCCUUGUGGUUAAUUGUACUUGUGCCUGUGGGAAGCCAUUGCUCCUGUUAGUCAUGCUGCAUAAACCACCUUUUUCCCUUUGAUUCUUUGCUGAGUAAUGGCUUGUUAGGGAAGACUGAAAAACUUCACGUUCUCGCUCAGAGAUUGAAUCGACUGGAAUAAAUCUAUGGCCUUUUCACAGUCUUCUGUGGACAUUUUUAUGGAAUAUGUAUUUUAAAUACCUAGCCAUUAUAGAAGGUUUUACAGAAAUGAAAAUAAUAUUAGGCUUUGCUUCCUAUAUAGCAAUAAAACUUUUAAAUUAUCUCCAAAAAUUCUACCUGAAUAAACUGUUAAAACAUUAUUCGUAGCAGAAGACAAUGCCAGAUAAACCUGUUAAAGUACAUCAAUGACCUGAAACCUUUCCUCCUUUACAUACACUGUGCUUGGGGUGGUAGAAGUUGUAGGGCUGUUGCUAACUGAGGCAUAAGGAGCAUUUGGAAAGAGCAGAAGGCACUUGCAGAUGCCACCAAAGUUUAUAAUAUUUCUAUUCUGUUGGCAGUUUACUUGAUUGCAGCAUUUAUAAAUGUUUUCUGAUGAGAUAGAGGAAGGGAAAAAUCUUUUUUCUUUCCCCGUUUAAGAAAUCGGUCCAUAUGAUAGCUCUGCCUUUGAGCUCCCAGCUGACAGCAUGGAGCCCGUCAGCACCUUUUGUGGGAUGUGAGUGCCGUUUCAGUGGAUGGAAGGGCUUUCUGGGGAGCCUCCGGGCAAGAGGAUGCAACGUCAAGUCACAGCUGAUGGGCCUUCUGCUCCUCCACGAAUUGCUAUUCGGGGGAGGCUUGGAGGAGAUUUUGAAGAAGACAGCUGAGUACAAAUCAGUAUUUUUCUUGACAGCCCUGGUUCUCUUCUUCUCUUUCCAAUUUACAUCUGUCCUCCAGAGAUGACAAAUCACAGUGUAGGAACCAGAGAAGCUUUCCAUCUUCUGGAUUAGAGGGUGGGGUUGGGGAUGGGGUUUUUUGUAAUUCCACAGGCAAAAUGGGUUAAUUGAUACUUUCCCUUCUGUAAACACUUUGAGAUCCCUUAGAUUUUUAGAUUCUACCAUUGCUUUAAUAGUAGUAUAUCUGUGAUUUCCCCAUCACCAUUCUCAGGUUAAUUUUUAGUCAUUAAGAUUGAUUGUCUAAAUUAGGAAAUUACAAAGCUUCAUGCUAUUGAAAGCACUGCAUGAAAGUCUCUGUAAAACCUCAUUUGUUAGAGAACUGAUGGGGAGAAAGCUCUUUGUCAUCAAAAGUCAAAUUUAUUUUCUUCAUAUUUUCAGCCUUGCUCCAAACACAAUCUCUUGUGUGGAUGCUGUUCUGUAGUUAAAGCUUUAGCUGAAAAAUUUAUAGGAUCUUAUUUAUUACAUACAUGUUGAGGUAUUGUGAAGCCUCAAAGACAGGAGAAAGGCAGAAGUUUAUUUGCAUUCUGUCAGAAAAAAAUCACACACCCUUUUUAGCAAAUAAAUGCUUAUGUAACAUUUUAAUUUGACUUUUAUAAUGGUUUGUUUUGUUUGCAUAUCUAUUUCUUAAAUUUUGGUUCCUGAUUAACCGUGAAGUUUUUAAUUGUGAAAUUCUUACUAUUGUACAUUGUCUGUCUCUCAGAAAAACCUAGAAUUAGGAAACAAUUUGAAGUACUGUAGGUUGAGCAGUUAGCGCAACGCAGCCUUACUAUUAAGUUUCAAGGUUCAAUAUUGUCUUUGCCAUUUUUCCCUUUGUGUGCCUUUUUAAUUUUGGAGACUUCCUGAUGUGCAGUUUUUAAAUGAUGUAGAUAGUAGCACAGCCAUUGUAAUGAUCACACCAGAGGAGCGGUUGUACAAAUGCACGCUGGCAUUUCAUUAGUCCUGUUCUGCUGUGCGAGUUAUUUAAUAGCUGAGGUGGAAACUUGCACAGUUCCUUUAUCUAGCACUGGAAGAUCAGAUCUCAUUUUUAUAUUACUUUUCAUGUAUUUUUUCCAAAGCUGCUCUUUUGUAUUGCUCAGGAGGGACCAGUAAGAUUCUCUGUACUCGUGCAGUGUGUCAGACGGGCAAAUUGUGACCAGCUUUAUUUCUAACUCACUCUGACAUGGUUAGGAUGAACUGAUUAUGUAAGGUAGAAGUCAAUCCCCCCAAAAUAAACCUCUGAACUUUUGUGAACACUUGAACACCUUCAAAUAUGUACCUGGGGGAUAGUGAGGGCAGUGUGGCACGGGGGAAGGAGGUGUGUCAUGUUCUCUAGGUCAGUAACUGGAAGUGGUCAGACUGCGUCGAGUCACUAGAUAGGAUGCUUCAUUAUAAUAUCAUUUAUAAGAUGUGAAAUGGGAAAAUAAUUCAUUUUCUCUUUGUUUUUAGAGGCUCGAUCCUCUGAAGCAAAUUCCAGCUUUGGCAGGGAAUCUGUGUUGCAGAAAAAAUCUGUACAAGUUUUGGAGGAUUCACCAAAAAAAAAAAAAAAAAAAAGAAACUGAGCUGUAAAAAAGAGACCACUCUCUUCUGUUCUUUCACAAUAGAGCUGUGCAGCUUUCCUUUACCAGAACUGCUUAUGACAUGGCAACUUCUAUUCAAAGCAGAAGAUUAUAAAGUACAGAGAACAGCAAAUUCAAGCCUAUGUAUCAAAUUGAGAUCACAUUGUUUGUGUUUGUGCUGAGUGACUGAUUAUGCUUCUAAAAAUUUUGCUUUCUUUUAGCAUUGCAGCAUAAUUUCAGGAAUGUGAAAUAUAUAAAGCACCACAAACCACUCCCUGUAGGACAAGAGCAGCUAAAGAGGAGGAAACCCUGAAGAGCCUCGUGGACAUUCUGCAGUGAGGAACACGAAACGUGCCUGCGCAGGGCAUGCCAGCUCAGCUUUCAGCCACUACACCCCCUCUUAAUGAUAACGCUGGUGCUCUCUGCUUAGAAGUAUACAGGAAAUAUGCUAAAAAGCAAAAAAAAAAAAAAAACAACCCACCCUAGAAAAUGUCGCAAUACCAAGAAAACCCAUUAAAUCUACAGCGCUCCAAACUGACCCAGAUGUUUCUGUAGUUUUAUGUGUUUGAGUCCACUCAGCUGAGAGAAGCCCUGAAAGUCUUAACAUUGCAAACUGCUGCUACAAAACAGAAAAAUGAGACUCUCAAUCAGUGAAUCAACGGAUUUAGUGAAAUCUUCGAAAUUUUUUUUUAAAAAAGGAAUGUUAAAUAUCACAAUUAAGUUUGAAAACACAGAACCUCCCAGCAAAAUGAUGAAAAAGGUUGUCCGAGUCUGAGAAGGUGGAACAUCAAGCAUUAAACAAACUGCAUCUCAGUGAGCAUGCUGAAUCGGCUGGAAUCUAGACAGCAAAAGCUCAAGCACUAUAAAAGAAGUAGGGAAUUUGUAAGAACAACUGUACAAUUCUUCUAACGCUUCCUCUGUCUCUGUCUGUCUGCUCUAGGAGAGAGCUACAUAUAUUGAUAGUUAUGUUGAGAAAAAUAUUCCAGCUUUUAAGAAUGGUGAAGACACUCUAAAAAAAAAAUAGUUAAAUACUAAUAUCUGGAACAUUACCAUUGUCUUUCCUUGAGGUUUAAAAGAUUGAUUUUCAGUUUUGUCAGUCACUCAAAGCAGAUAUAACUGUAUUUAUCCCAGCAAUUAGAAGUUACAAUUUUAAAAUCUUUCUACUCGUCUCUGUUAUGUGACAAUGCUAAAUUGGACUGUAGUGAAAUAGUGAGUAAUGCUCAUUUGGCUUUUCCAAAUUUUCCUGUGUUUCAUAUGUGCAUGUAAGAGAUGACAACUCAAGUAACUCAUUUUUUUUUGUAAUGCACUCGAUGUUCUACACUAAUGGCACAACAAUAAAUUGGCUUCAACAGUU